rnacentral:rRNA from 1 species
GACGAACGCUGGCGGCGUGCUUAACACAUGCAAGUCGAACGGAAAGGCCCUGCUUUUGUGGGGUGCUCGAGUGGCGAACGGGUGAGUAACACGUGAGUAACCUGCCCUUGACUUUGGGAUAACUUCAGGAAACUGGGGCUAAUACCGGAUAGGAGCUCCUGCUGCAUGGUGGGGGUUGGAAAGUUUCGGCGGUUGGGGAUGGACUCGCGGCUUAUCAGCUUGUUGGUGGGGUAGUGGCUUACCAAGGCUUUGACGGGUAGCCGGCCUGAGCGGGUGACCGGCCACAUUGGGACUGAGAUACGGCACAGACUCGUACGGGGGGCAACGGUGGGGAAUAUUGCACAAUGGGCGGAAGCCUAAUGCAGCAACGCCGCGUGGGGGAUGACGGCCUUCGGGUUGUAAACCGCUUUCGCCUGUGACGAAGCGUGAGUGACGGUAAUGGGUAAAGAAGCACCGGCUAACUACGUG